UACGUAGGUGGCAAGCGUUGUCCGGAUUUACUGGGCGUAAAGAGCGCGCAGGCGGUCGAUCAAGUCGCGUGUGAAAGCCCCCGGCUCAACUGGGGAGGGUCACGCGAUACUGAUCGACUCGAAGGCAGGAGAGGGUAGUGGAAUUCCCGGUGUAGUGGUGAAAUGCGUAGAGAUCGGAAAGAACACCAACGGCGAAAGCACUCUGCUGGGCCGACACUGACACUGAGAGACGAAAGCUAGGGGAGCGAAUGGG
rnacentral:rRNA from 1 species